GGGCAACUAGUCUAGUGGUCAGGACGCUUCGUUGUGGUUUCGUAGAAUUCGAAACUUCGUUUCCGAAGAAACCCAGGUUCGAUUCCUGGGUUGCCCA